rnacentral:misc_RNA from 1 species
UGGAGAAGUUGACUUCACCGUUAUGCAUCUCUCUUCAAACACAGCUUCUUUUCCGACAUCAUGGGACUUCUCUAGCAGCCAACCGUGCAUUGGAAAUGGUGCCCGCCAGUGUUCAGCAUUCACAACAAAUGCUUCAUCAGAGAAAACGUGGACAAUGCGCACUACUUUUCCGGAAUAUGUUGUUGCUCUUGCCACUAUUGUUG